rnacentral:rRNA from 1 species
GACGGAGGAUGCAAGUGUUAUCCGGAAUCACUGGGCGUAAAGCGUCUGCAGGUGGUUUUUUAAGUCUGAUGUUAAAACUUGAGGCUCAACCUCAAUCCAGCAUUGGAAACUAGAAGACUAGAGUAUAGUAGGGAUAGAGGGAAUUUCCAGUGGAGCGGUGAAAUGCGUAGAUAUUGGAAAGAACACCGAUGGCGAAAGCACUCUAUUGGACUAUUACUGACACUCAGAGACGAAAGCUAGGGGAGCAAAUGGG